GCGCCGGCAGGCGCGGGCACACGGGCUGCCCCCGGGCCGUGCCCCCGGGCCGUGCCCCGGAGCCUCGGCAGGCAGGCCGGGCGGGGCCGGGCUGCGCCUGCCCCCGCAGCGCCUCGGGGCGCCUGGAGCCCAGCACGCCCCCGCCGGGGUUUCGAUUCCCGGGAAGCCACGCCGGGCUGCUUGUCCGGGGGGUGAGCUAUCUGAGCGGAGGUGUUCCCCGGCUGCCGGCUGCUGAUAGCGACAAAACAAGGCUCAAGGAGACGCGAGAGCAAGCUGUUAGCACGAGUGAUCCCUCCAGCUGGUGCUACGUAAGGAGAUAACGGCUGGCAGCGUAUUCAUGUGGAGAGCUCAAGGAGGCAUACUGUCAGCAAACGGAGGAGUUAAGCUCUCUGAAAGCUAUUCCAGAUAAAGAUUUAUCCUUAAUUUAAGGAAAACAAAAACGGAAUGUCGGAGGACAAGGUGGAACCUCACAGGGUAUUUCCAAGUACCGGUGACCUAUCCCUAUGAACACAAGGGCAAAAAAAAACAAAAGACCAUUUCCUCCCUCCUCCAUCACCUUUGUUCUACCAAACAAACACCUGGAAUUUACAUCCCAAGGCCUCACCUAUUCUACAGUCACUCAAAUGAUCUAAAAUUAGAAUGAAAAUCAUGGAGAUUGUAUCACUGAGAUAGUAUUGUGCUUGUACUUUCCAAUACAAAGGGAUUGAAAUUUUUCCUUUUCAUUAAUCCAUGAACAAUAAUUUAUGCAUCUGACAUUUAAAUUAUAAAGAUUCAGAUGAUUAAUACAUACCGGAAAAAAAAUCUGUUUCUGUGCUUCAUCACAGGCUUAAGGAAAAAAAUGGCUCCAGGCCUGGCCCUGUGACAGACUGAGCACUGCCACCUUCCAGUGACAGCAGCUGAGCUGUGCAUGCUCAUUCCCUUUCGGUUUCAGUAAUUUGUCAAGCACAGAAAAUAUGUGUGUGUGUGUAAAUGU